ACUGACAGCGCACCGGGAGGAGAUAUUAGCUGAGUUUAGUAAAAUGUGUAUUAGAUUAGAAUCACAGACUCCACCUUUAAUUACAGCAUGGGAGUAAAU